CUGUUUUCCUUUCUCUGCCUGCCAUACCCUUCCUAGAGCUAGACAGGAAUUUGCCCAACAACCGAGUGCCCGCAGGGCUGGAGAAACGACUCUGCGCCGCCGCUACCUCAAUCCUGGGCAAACCUGCGGACGUCAGCGUGGGCCAGGCAGCACAGGGCGAGGGGAGCGCAUGCAGGUGACAGUGCGUACAGGCCUGGCCGUGGCGCUGAGCGGGUCCACCGAGCCCUGCGCGCAGCCGUCCAUCUCCUCCAUCUGCGUAGUGCUGAGGACAACCGCAGCCACAGCGCCCACUUCUUUGAGUUUCUCACCAAGGAGCAAACCCUGGGCCAAGACUGGGCAGGACUGGAGACCUGCAGACCGCCACGUCUGAGCUCCCCACCUGCGGUAAGCUCCCGCG